CGGUAGGAUUCGUGACUGGGGUGAAGUCGUAACAAGGUAGCCGUAUCGGAAGGUGCGGCUGGAUCACCUCCUUU
rnacentral:rRNA from 1 species